rnacentral:rRNA from 1 species
GAUGAACGCUGGCGGCGUGCCUAAUACAUGCAAGUCGAGCGAAUGGAUUAAGAGCUUGCUCUUAUGAAGUUAGCGGCGGACGGGUGAGUAACACGUGGGUAACCUGCCCAUAAGACUGGGAUAACUCCGGGAAACCGGGGCUAAUACCGGAUAACAUUUUGAACCGCAUGGUUCGAAAUUGAAAGGCGGCUUCGGCUGUCACUUAUGGAUGGACCCGCGUCGCAUUAGCUAGUUGGUGAGGUAACGGCUCACCAAGGCAACGAUGCGUAGCCGGCCUGAGAGGGUGAUCGGCAAGACUGGGACUGAGACACGGCCCAGGCUCCUACGGGAGGCAGCAGUAGGGAAUCUUCCGCAAUGGACGAAAGUCUGACGGAGCAACGCCGCGUGAGUGAUGAAGGCUUUCGGGUCGUAAAACUCUGUUGUUAGGGAAGAACAAGUGCUAGUUGAAUAAGCUGGCACCUUGACGGUACCUAACCAGAAAGCCACGGCUAACUACGUGCCAGCAGCCGCCGUAA